UGUUCCUCAGUAGCUCAGCGGUAGAGCGGUCGGCUGUUAACUGACUGGUCGUAGGUUCGAAUCCUACUUGAG
rnacentral:tRNA from 1 species